CUAGGGGAUUGGUGGGGAACAGAUCCUUCCCCCUGAACCUCCUAAAGGAACCAACCCUGCAGACACCUGGAUUCUGCACUUCUAAUCUCCAGAACUGUGAGGAUAAGUUUCUGUUGUUUUAAGUCCCCCAGUCACAAUACUUUGUUAUAGCAGCUCUAGCAGACUAAUACAUCAGGCUGAGGAAAGCAAGUCCGUGUGAGGCACAGAGCCUCCUUAGAAGGACAGCAGAACCAUGGACACAUUUGCUGGCUUCCUUCAGAAUCUGGAUCCACCGAUGGAUUCACCUCCUACAAGUUCUAGAAAAUGUGGAGAGCAACUGAGCAAAUGUGGAGAGUGACAGACAACUUGGGGAACAGGACAGAGAGAGCCAGGACCGGCCGCUGGGUCCCCACCAGAACCAACUCUGGCUGGGUCUGGAGAGCACACAGGGGAAACUCAUCAAAGGAAAUGGAAAUCCAAGUCCUCGCUAGUUUCUGACAACUCUAGGGACUACAGGAAGGAGAUGCCACAUCCAUACUGCUUGGGACUCUGGCUAUCAAGCAAGAUGUUCACUCUGAUGAGAACAAACUGGGAUCCCAUGAGAGGUACCUAAUCCCAUCCAAGGCCAGUGCCCCCAGUGACCACCCACUAGUCUCUACCUCUGGAAGCUCACUCCACCUUGGUACUGCCACACUGAGGACCAAGGCUCCAACACAUGAGCUUUUGGGGGACAAAACGCAUGUAAACCGCAGCAGGUGAGUGUGUUUCCUUGAGUCCUGAUGAGAACAUGAACUCUGAACCCAAACUGUUUAUCUCAGCCAGAGACAAAGAGGAGUGACCUAUCUGAAAAGCUCUUUAAAUGUCUGAUAAGAGUCGUGAAUCAUCUUUGUAUAUGUGUUUACACUGAAAAACACAAACUGUUUUUACUCACAAAGUGAUAACAGGUGCUCUGAGGAAGUUGUGCCCAGUAAGAGCUGGAAAUUUCCCGGUUUCAGGCUUUGUAUUGAGGUUUCUGGUGCAAAAGGAAUGACUUAUUCAAUUUCAGUUUAUACUAAGAUUUUCUCAGAAAACUGAAAGGUUUGUUUCCCCAACUUGUAUGCAGUCAGGGUGAUUUUUGACUGAGGGAAAGGUAAAGCCCCGUAAGAAACAUUCCAGAAUCAAUAACCAUCUCCCAGAAGACAAUCGGGUAGGGCUGGGGGUGGUGUAGCUGGGGAUGGAGCACUUGCUCAGCAGGCUUAAGGCCCUGGGUUCAACCCCCAGUACGGCAAAAAAAUAAAAUAAGAAAGAAGAUGAUCAAGUAACUGCUCUAACGAGUAGAAAUGAAGCAGAAAAAUGCAGAGUGUAUUGAAUAUAAGAAAACGUGGAGAAUUAGGGUUAUCUUAUCAGAGAAAUCCUAGCCUAGAAACAAGAAGAGUAUAGACCAUAAGUCAGCAACUUUUCUGUAAGAGACCAAGAGAGGGUACUAAAUGCUUUAGACUUCUUGGGUCCCAGAGGCUCUGUGAAAACUGCUUAACUGUAAAUUGUGGCAGAAAUGCAACCGUAAAUGAUGGGUCAAAGAGCAGACAUGACUGGUUUCCAGUAAGAUUUUAUUUGUGGACACUGAAAUGUGAAUUUCAUCUAAUUUUCAUGUAUCACUAAAUAUUAUUCCUUUCUUAACUUUUCAGCAAUUUAAAAAUAAAUAAGCCAUCCUUACAAUGUAGUCUAUACAAAAAAUAGGCAGUGGUCUGAGGUGGUGGUUUGUCUACCCUCAGUGUGACCAUAAACUAGUGUACAGCAACAUCAGCUACCAGAUCCAAAGACCUUAAGGUGGGAAUUCUUCUUUAGAUAGGGUGUUAUUAUCCAGACUACACAUAAAGCUUACAUUAUAUGCAACCAUGGAAGUAGCAUUUAAACAUUCACAUUCCAACUCCCAUCACACACACAAACACCUGGCUUAAGACCAUGAGUGCUUUUUUGUAGUGGUUCUCAAAGUGUAGUCCCUGGACCAGCAGAUACUGGGAAUUCUUUAGAAAUUCAUCUUCUCAGGCUCCAGCCUAACCCAUUGCAUCAGAAACUCUGUGGGAUGGGGCACAGCAACCUCUACUUUAAUAAAUCAUCUGAAUGAUUCUCAUAUUUCUCAAGUUUGAGUACCAUUGAAGUAGGAAUGAAUGGAGUGACUCAGGCUAGGGUGUUCACUAUACCUCUGCCUGAUGAUGCUGAGCAUCAGCCUCAGCUUCUCAUAAUGGAAUCAAGGGAAAAGGUAUAGUUAUGAUUUGCCUAUGGCCACUUCUGCUUUAUAAAGGAGAUUUAACCUUCAAAUAAAAGAGAAAAAUAAUCUUUAGGUCUCUUUCUUCCAUUGACCUUGGCUAGAGAAAAAGGAGAGGGGAAAGACUGAAAUUUCAAAGUCAUGCACCUACAAUGCCGUCUACAAUGCAGGCAGCUGCAGGAAGCAGAGUGGAAAACACGCGUGAAUCUAUGAACCGUGGCACCUGGAAUCUGGCUCUUAGAAGAUCUUCAACAACUGGUGAUCAUGAUUGGCGAAGUGGUUGUUAUUGAAUCUGCUAUGUUUUGAAUUACCAAGCUUGUCAAUUUUGAGAAGUAAUUCCAUUUUUUAGACUGAAGAUUUUGAUGGAAAAUCCUGAUCCCUCUAGGCUAAGUGUCUCUCUUAGUUAAUUAUGAUCGUAGAGGGCUCCUUGGAUCAGGAUAUGAUCAUAACCCAAGGGGACCACUUGCCUGGGGGCAGCUAGAUUGAAACCCUCUGAGGAGAUCAUCCUCCUACUUGCACUGAGGUUGAAAAAGGCCAAUGUAAUGUCACAAAAGUGUCCACAAACUAUGGGCCAAAUCUGGCCCAUGGCACUGCUAAGAAUGAUUUAUAUAUUUUUAAAGCUUGUGAAAGAAAAAAAAAGGUCACCAAAACCCCAAAUCAAGGCAUAUUUGACAAAGAUUAUAUAUAGCCAACAUAGCCCCAAAUAUUUACUAUCUGGUUCUUUAUGGAAACUUUGCAGUCCUGACUCAGGCCAUGGUGGCUCUCAGACCCCAUAGUUAGGGAGAGGGAGAAGAACUCAGGGGUUUGUGUGUGUGACAAACACCUGGAGAAGCCCCACAUUCAGGGAUGUACCUGGUAUUUAAACCUGGUAUUGUGUUUAGUCCCAGGAAAGGGCUGGGAAGCACGUUAUUCUGUUCCUUUCUCAUGACCCCACAGCGCCAGGCCCAGGGAGGAGAAAGGAGCUCAGAUCUCAGGGUUGAAGUUGGUCCUGCAGAUAUACCGCUCCGCAGCCCCAGAAGCCCCAGGAGGGAGCCUCUGGCAGGGACAGUUGGCUUAGCCUGAGGGGGAGCAGAAGUGAGGUAACCUAGGAACAAGGUCACUGUCUGUAAGCCAGAGGCGGGCUGUGAUCUGAGAGUAGGAGAGGACUCCCAAGAGAGUCUAGUGCCCAAGGCUGAGGUCUCCUCCAGCUCAGGAAGCUGGUCACUUCCUAAGGAAGCCUGAGCUUGGGGUGGGUAUUAUCCUACAGUGUCCCAUUCAGGGCGCCACAUAGGUGAUCUCUCUGCCCUACCUUCUGCCCGAGCACUUGGUUCACUGCCUUGCUAAGCUGUUGGGGAAAAGGGCAGCACCUUCCCGGGCCCUUCCUUCCUCACCUUCUUCCUGCACAUACAACCAGGGGACCUUUCCAAUUGCCACAUCAGCAUGUUUGGGUUCAGGGUAAGACAGAUUGUGAGGUGGGAAUCUAGACUCCACAUCUGAUGCUUUGUUUUGAAUCCUAUGUCUCCCUCACUCCUGUUGGCACAGGGGGAACACCUGCAGAGUGGAAUUUGAAUAGAGGCGCAUUCCUCUUAGGGGAAAAAUCCCUCUGCCUGCCUGGCAGAGGCUAAGCCCUUAGGCCAAAGCACCCAGGGUCCCUGGUGGCCCUGCUGAUUCAGCAGUCCUACCUGCCCUGGCCCACUUAGGAAAGUCACUUGAUGGCCCCCAACAUGCUCUAGGUAGCCAGGUAAGUGACUACCCCGGCCCCCUUGAGGGUGCAGAUCUAGCAUGGGUGAUGGGGAGUGCAGGACUGGGUAGUUAGGUAGGACUGAGCAGGGUGGAAAGACCCUAGGACUGCACAAGGGUGGGGCUACCUCAAGAUGCCACCUGCUGCCAGGGUCCAAGAGCUGUUGUCUCCUGGCAUUUUGCAGAAUAGGAGAGGUCAAGUCAGGGGAAGGUUGUUUGGAGCUCUCUAACAAGAGGGACCUUGUCUCUUUGGUUCCCUGCUG